CUGCUCAAUGAGGUGAAGAAGAAUCCUAGAGUGUCAGCUAAAGACUUACAAAAGUCACUGGCAAAUGCUAACAUCCCUGUUAGCGAAUCUACAAUACGUAAAACACUAAACAAGAAUGGAUUUCAUUGGAGGAUACCACAGAGGAAGCCACUGCUGUCCAAACAAAACAUUGCUGCACGUUUACAGUUUGCACAAGAGCACCUGGAUGUUCCACAGCAGUACUGUCAAAAUAUUCUGUGGACAGAUGAAACCAAAGUUGAGUUGUUUGGAAGAAACACACAACACUAUGUGUGGCGAAAAAAAGGCACAGCACACCAACAUCAAAACCUCAUCCCAACUGUGAAGUAUGGUGGUGGGGGCAUCAUGGUUUGGGGCUGCUUUGCUGCGUCAGGGCCUGGACGGAUUGCUAUCAUCGAAGGAAAAAUGAAUUCCCAAGUUUAUCAAGACAUUUUGCAGGAGAACCUAAGGCCAUCUGUCUACCAGCUGAAGCUCAACAGAAGAUGGGUGUUGCA